rnacentral:pre_miRNA from 1 species
AGCCAUCUGUAGCCAUGCUGAGAUUUCGUCACACACCAGACCACAAGAACUGAUGAGACUUUCAAGAUAAGUGAAGUG